UACGAAGGUCCCAAGCGUUGUUCGGAAUCACUGGGCGUAAAGGGUGCGUAGGCGGCCUUGUAAGUCAGUGGUGAAAUACUCCAGCUUAACUGGAGGGGUGCCAUUGAUACUGCAGGGCUUGAGUUAAGUUGAAGUUGGCGGAAUUGACGGUGUAGCGGUGAAAUGCUUAGAUAUCGUCAAGAACACCGAUAGUGAAGACAGCUAACUAAACUUUUACUGACGCUGAGGCACGAAAGUGUGGGGAUCAAACAGG
rnacentral:rRNA from 1 species